CAGCAGCCGCGGGAAUACGGAGGGGGCUAGCGUUGUUCGGAAUUACUGGGCGUAAAGCGCACGUAGGCGGCUUGGUAAGUUAGAGGUGAAAGCCUGGAGCUCAACUCCAGAAUUGCCUUUAAGACUGCCGAGCUAGUAGGUGAGAGAGGUAAGUGGAAUUCCGAGUGUAGAGGUGAAAUUCGUAGAUAUUCGGAAGAACACCAGUGGCGAAGGCGGCUUACUGGCUCAUUCUAGACGCUGAGGUGCGAAAGCGUGGGGAGCAAACAGGAUUAGAUACCCCCGUAGUCCCUGUCUCUUAUAC
rnacentral:rRNA from 1 species